rnacentral:lncRNA from 1 species
GUGAGUGAAUGAGUUGGGUUGACUCGGUUUGACUGUUGUUCGAUUCUUUGACCGUUUUGUGGAUGAAGAAUUUAGGGGAGCCAAUACGAGUUUGACACGUAAGCGUACUUAAUCUCAACAUUUUAGUACUAUGUUUACAUGCUUUUUAGGUUAUAGAACCUGGACCAGAAUCCUCUUCUAAGCUAAGGAUGAGUAUCCUCCUCAUCAAUGAGUAUGGGCCGUUUGAUGAAAAUCCAACGGCUAUAAUCAGGGUCCCUUUAAAGUUAUAAUAAUUGUAACCUUUAAAGUUAUAAUAAUUGUAACCGUUGAAUGAAAUCACUUGAUGAGGAGAAUCCUCAUCCUUAGCUCAGGAGAGGAUCCUGGUCCAUGGAACAUGGUGAUUGUACUAGAUUUGGUUGUUUCUUCACCUCUUUGCUUUAUCGACGCCGAGAAUUUUGGUUGUGAAUAAAAUGGGACAAUCUGCUUAGUAACCAGUUGUAUUUUUGUUUGUGUUUAUAGACACGUCUCGAGAUAGCUAAGAAUCUCCUUUGAUUAAGACAGCGUUAGGAAUUGGGGUUGAGAUUCGGACUAAUAAUACGGUGUCAUGUAUUUUAACUUUUCAAUAAAACGGCACGCUAACAUGCCAAAGGAAAGGUGUAGGGUAGUCUCUCUCUAGGAAUUGACAUAAUGAUUAUAUUUGUAUAGUGUUCAUAGAAUCAUGGUGAUGCACUCUUUUCAUAUUGAUUGUACGUUGGCUUGCAAUCCCAAGUCACAUUUACUUGCUUGACCUUUUCCUCAUAAGAAAUUGACGGAUUUUGGAUGUCUCGAUUUUUUCUUCCUUCUCUUUUGGCUGGUUCCAUAAUCUCAGAAAUUGACUGCUUACUUUGGUCUGAUUAGCCUAUUGCUUAUCACUUGAUGCGAGAGUUGUCCUAUUGGACAUGAUUUCUUGGUUUUGGGCAUGAUUACGUUUUGAAAUUACAUGUCUGAUUAGCGUUUUCAAGGCUAAAACUCUCUGGCACUCGCUGAUGGAACGGCUGUCUUACAUUUGCUACAUGAUGUGAGUAGCACAUGAUCGUGAAUGUGGG